rnacentral:rRNA from 1 species
UUGGUCAAUGGCCGAAGGGGGGCCCCGUCCCUUGGCAGAAUGUAAGUGUAUUAUAGUAAUACAGUAACGAUUAACUCGUAUAAAAUUCUAAAUAGGAUAAUGAUAAUGACAAUUUCCUAUUUAUAAGUCUUGACCAAAUUACGUGCCAGCAGUCGCGGUAAUACGUAGAAGACUAGUGUUAGUCAUCUUUAUUAGGUUUAAAGGGUACCUAGACGGUAAAUUAAACUCUAAAUGAGUACUUUUUUACUAGAGUUUUAUGAGAGAAGGAAGAAUUUCUGGAGUAGUGAUGAAAUACUUUGAUACCAGAAGGACUGGUAACGGCGAAGGCAUCCUUCUAUGUAAAAACUGACGUUGAGGGACGAAGGCUUGGGUAGCAAUAAGGAUUAGAUACCCUAGUAGUCCAAGCAGAAAAUGAUGAAUGUCAUAGGCUAGAUAAUAUUUAGUCUAUAAAUGAAAGUGUAAGCAUUCCACCUCAAGAGUAAUAUGGCAACAUAUAAACUGAAAUCAUUAGACCGUUUCUGAAACCAGUAGUGAAGUAU